rnacentral:lncRNA from 1 species
GGAGAUGCACGGAAGGUCUAAAAAUGGGGAAGCUCUGCCCUAGAGUUGUCAUGCAAUGUGAACCUAUGUGUUAGGAUUUACAAAUGAGAACAUCUACCUAAUGUUAGCAUGCAAAGAAAUAAGGGAAUUCUACCUAUGUUAUCAUGCAAAAGAAAGAGGGAAUACUACCUAUGUUAUCAUACAAAGAUUAAGGGAAUACUACCUAAUGGGUGCUACCUAAACGGAACAAGAAUCGACAAAUGGAGCAAGGAAAGGAACCAUGGGUAAGGGU